rnacentral:rRNA from 1 species
AUUGAACGCUGGCGGCGUGCUUAACACAUGCAAGUCGAACGCGAAAGGGGCUUCGGUCCUGAGUAAAGUGGCGCACGGGUGAGUAACGCGUGGAUAAUCUGCCCUUAUGAUUGGAAUAACAGUUGGAAACGGCUGCUAAUACCGGAUACGCCCAAAAUGAACUUUUUGAGGAAAGAUGGCCUCUGCUUGCAUGCUAUCGCAUAAGGAUGAGUCCGCGUCCCAUUAGCUUGUUGGCGGGGUAACGGCCCACCAAGGCAACGAUGGGUAGCCGAUUUGAGAGGAUGAUCGGCCACACUGGAACUGAAGCACGGUCCAGACUCCUACGGGAGGCAGCAGUGGGGAAUAUUGCGCAAUGGGCGAAAGCCUGACGCAGCGACGCCGCGUGAGGGAUGAAGGUUUUCGGAUCGUAAACCUCUGUCAGAAGGGAAGAAACUACGUUGUGCUAAUCAGCAGCGUACUGACGGUACCUUCAAAGGAAGCACCGGCUAACUCCGUGCCAGCCGCCGCAGUAA